AUUGAACGCUGGCGGCAGGCCUAACACAUGCAAGUCGGGCGAGCGGCGGACGGGUGAGUAAUUUAUGGGGAUCUUCCCGUUAGAGGGGGAUCACUACUGGAAACGUUGGCUAAUCCCGCAUCCUAUCGGAUGAACCCAUAUGGGAGUAGCUUGUAGGGUGGGUAAAGGCCCACCUCGGCGACGAUCUCUAGCUGGUUUGAGAGGAUGACCAGCCACACUGGGACUGAGACACGGCCCAGACGCCUAAGGGAGGCAGCAGUGGGGAAUAUGGCGCAAUGGGGGCAACCCUGACGCAGCCAUGCCGCGUGAAUGAAGAAGGCCUUCGGGUUGUAAAGUUCUUUCAGUCGGGAGGCGUUACCGACAGAAGAAGAACCGGCUAACUCCGUGCCAGCAGACGCGGUAAUAC
rnacentral:rRNA from 1 species